GAUAACAACCCUAUCUUUGUGAAACAGAAUUUACCAAGUGUUGGAUUGUUCACCCACUAAUAGGGAACGUGAGCCAGGAUUAGGCCGUCGUGAGACAGGUU
rnacentral:ncRNA from 1 species